rnacentral:rRNA from 5 species
GCAUGGAGCCGACCUUGAAAUACCACCCUUUAAUGUUUGAUGUUCUAACGUGGACCCGUAAUCCGGGUUGCGGACAGUGUCUGGUGGGUAGUUUGACUGGGGCGGUCUCCUCCUAAAGAGUAACGGAGGAGCACGAAGGUUGGCUAAUCCUGGUCGGACAUCAGGAGGUUAGUGCAAUGGCAUAAGCCAGCUUGACUGCGAGCGUGACGGCGCGAGCAGGUGCGAAAGCAGGUCAUAGUGAUCCGGUGGUUCUGAAUGGAAGGGCCAUCGCUCAACGGAUAAAAGGUACUCCGGGGAUAACAGGCUGAUACCGCCCAAGAGUUCAUAUCGACGGCGGUGUUUGGCACCUCGAUGUCGGCUCAUCACAUCCUGGGGCUGAAGUAGGUCCCAAGGGUAUGGCUGUUCGCCAUUUAAAGUGGUACGCGAGCUGGGUUUAGAACGUCGUGAGACAGUUCGGUCCCUAUCUGCCGUGGGCGCUGGAGAACUGAGGGGGGCUGCUCCUAGUACGAGAGGACCGGAGUGGACGCAUCACUGGUGUUCGGGUUGUCAUGCCAAUGGCACUGCCCGGUAGCUAAAUGCGGAAGAGAUAAGUGCUGAAAGCAUCUAAGCACGAAACUUGCCCCGA